AUUUCGUGAUGAGCGUACUUCCGUAAUAAUUCUUUGUACCUUUCCCAUGCCUCAUACAAUGACUCAUCAUCCAUUUGCUGGAAAGCAGUGAUUUCAUUCCUCAACUU
rfam:Gossypium raimondii chromosome 3, whole genome shotgun sequence.